GUUAAUGUUCUUGGUCAAUCUUUUUUCAGGCAUUACAGUUUGCAACCAACUGAUGACGAAAUUGUGAUGGCUCCAUGUUAUUUGCACCAACUGAUUAACUGAACUAUGCUAUACACAUGGGAGACUUUGGUUAAAGGAUUAGAAAUCAGAGUAAUUAGAAAAAGAUACAUGUCCAAUGCUAAUGCAAAGGCUUGUAGAAAGAUUAUGUAGAGUGUUUACCCGAAAUAAUCUCUAGACACUACAACACGAUCAUGUAUUCUGAGAGCCUUCUAGCUACUUCAGACGGUGACAGUGCUUACCUCUAAGAAAAGUGCAGGAGCUGAAAUAUUUCUUCGCCAGGUCAAGAAGAAUAGGAACCUAAACGGUCAGGUAUAAUCCUAAGGUUCUUUAUUAUGUUUCACCCGUGAGUGGUCAUGUGGUGGUUUGUGUGCAUCUAACUACUGUAUCGACUAACAGUUCAACAUGCCCUAUUGAUCCGGUGCUAAUCCCCAAGAGCUACUUGAUUAAGCUCACUACACAAAACAGCGUGGAUAUGACUUCAUUUGGUGAAUAUUCAUGUAUAUACAUUAUGUUUCGUGAUAUGUACAUAUAGACAUAUCAAGGAAUGGUUUUGUUAUUUAUUUGUAGUUUUGUUCCAUACUCCACAAAAGUAGAAAAUCAAUGAUUAAGCUCAAUUAUGAUUUAUUCCUAGUAGCUUGGUUUAUGUGACUUGGGACUGCUAAACAGUACACAGCUAGCAUAUUUUGUUUAUAGUGCUCUAGAUAAUAUGGAGGCUCUAGACAAUGGUGUCUUGGAGCUCCUUUUGGUUAAACAACAUAUCCACACAAACAAGGUACAUUAUGCUUGCUCUCAAGAAAAAAAAGGGUUCGUUUAUUCAGUGAGUAUGCUUUUCCUCUAGAAAUCAUUAGCUGUAGUGUUAGAUUCACAAUUUCAUUCAUUUGCAAGAUAUUCAAUGGAAUUUCUAUGUGAGUAAAUUGUUGUGCAUAUGAAGGUGCAUUUGACAAAGGUCAAGGGGAAUUGGCGAACUAAUCAGUACGACAACUGUUAGUCAACUAAUUAGACUGUCUAGUGUUUAGUUUUAACAAUUCCAUUGUUUCAGGCUACCCAAACUUCAGACAGAGGCAGAGGAGCAGGACCACAUGAACUCCUUAAUAUAGAUGAUCAACAUGUCUCCAUAUCUAUCCAGGAUGUUGGUCGAGGAGAUUUUGUUCUUUUAUUUAGCAUUGAUUGGUCUCUAGUUGAUGUAUCUAAUUUCAUAUACUCCGUAAGCACAACAUGAAGGUAAUAUCCAUACGUGCAAUUAUUUCUUUACUUUUAGUUUUUACUAUUUUAUAAGAUAACGGUUCACUGGUCAAGCAAGGGCAAAGACCUAUAUUUGAGUAGUACCUAUUAGAUGAACUAAACUUGGCAUGGAACAAUUCUAAUUCUGACUAUGAAAAUUGAUCCAUUUCUCUGGUCCAGGAAUUUGAGUGUUUAUCUUUUCAUUACCAAGGCUUAGAUUGCCUCACAAUGAACCUGCCCAAGGACCAAUCUCUUAAAAUUUGGUUUGAGUGGAUCCAAAGACAGAUAUAUUAAAAGAAAUGAUGCAUCUUUCUUUAGAGACAUUUUAUUGAAGCACAAGGUGUGUUGUGUUCCCGACCUCCGUGCUAGGAGCGUGCAACCGAAUUGCAUUCCAUGAAUCUAAUUAAUUUUGCCUUCAUAUUGGCUUGUUAUUUUCAACCUUGAUUGGCAUGGUCCGGCAUAGUAGUAGUUCUUUAAAUUUCACAAAUACAAAAAGGUAACUACUGUUUUUCUUGAUAUUGUUGUCUGAUUGCUCUUAUGUUGUCCCCCUUGAAUUUUUCUUACAUCCCUGAUCAAGCAAAUCAAUGAUGUGUUGAAGAAUAUUAUCAUUGUGCUGCAGGUUCGUGGUACCUAAGUGGUCCUUAUGUGUACAAGGAUCAAUCUGCUGAUGAUAUAAAGAUUUUGGGCUACUAUUAAAAAAAAGUGUAGCAGAUAUUGGCCUAGCGAUUCACUGCCAGUAAGCUUGGGAUUACAUUGGCUAAGUAUCAUUAAGUGUUCAAAGGAUCAUAAUAUAUAUCUGCAACUCUACUUUAUUUAAAACUUCUAGGAGAAGUUGAGGAUCACACAUUCACAUAUAAGUGACCAUUUCUUAUACAAAUGUAAGCACAAUUUUUUUAUGACCAGUAGCAUCGGAUGAUCAAAGUGUCUUUUAUCUCCGUUUUCCACAUUCUCUUGAACCCUGAGGUUUUUUUUUCUGUCUAAUCCUUAAUUCAUACAAGGAGGACCUUGUAUUAUUUUAUCUUAUGCUUUUGUAUUUCAAUGAAACAUGGCUUGAAUAUAAGUUUAUUUAUUCUUUAUUUGAUGUGAAA